AAACAAAAUAGAAAAAUAUAGUAAAAAUCGAAAACAAAUGUUACACAGUCGUGCCGCCAAGCCUUAUGACAAAGCCUAGACCAUAUGGCUUAAAGACAUGGUUGUGUGGCCAAACCAUGUAACAACCUGAGUCCGUGUAACUUAGGGUCACAUGAUUGUGUCACCCAGUCGUACUGCACAAAAAAUCAAAUCGUGCUUGAUCGUAUACAUCUAAAAUAACUUCAAAACCAAGCCAUUUCAACUAACAUUCCUUAGGUUCC
rnacentral:lncRNA from 1 species